UACGUAGGGCGCAAGCGUUGUCCGGAAUUAUUGGGCGUAAAGAGCUCGUAGGCGGCUUGUCACGUCGGAUGUGAGAGUCCGGGGCUUAACUCCGGGUCUGCAUUCGAUACGGGCUGGCUAGAGUGUGGUAGGGGAGAUCGGAAUUCCUGGUGUAGCGGUGAAAUGCGCAGAUAUCAGGAGGAACACCGGUGGCGAAGGCGGAUCUCUGGGACGAUACUGACGCUGAGGAGCGAAAGCGUGGGGAGCGAACAGG
rnacentral:rRNA from 1 species